ACGGAAGGCAGCAGUGGGGGAUAUUGCACAAUGGGGGAAACCCUGAUGCAGCGACGCCGCGUGAGUGAAGAAGUAUUUCGGUAUGUAAAGCUCUAUCAGCAGGAAGAUAAUGACGGUACCUGACUAAGAAGCCCCGGCUAACUACGUGCCAGCAGCCGCGGUAAUACGUAGGGGGCAAGCGUUAUCCGGAUUUACUGGGUGUAAAGGGAGCGUAGGCGGUUUUGCAAGUCAGAAGUGAAAGCCCGGGGCUUAACUCCGGGACUGCUUUUGAAACUGCGAGACUUGAUUGCAGGAGAGGUAAGUGGAAUUCCUAGUGUAGCGGUGAAAUGCGUAGAUAUUAGGAGGAAUACCGGUGGCGAAGGCGGCUUACUGGACUGUAAAUGACGCUGAGGCUCGAAAGCGUGGGGAGCAAACAGGAUUAGAUACCCUGGUA
rnacentral:rRNA from 1 species